AUUGAACGCUGGCGGCAUGCCUAACACAUGCAAGUCGAGCGGAUGAAGGGAGCUUGCUCCUUGAUUCAGCGGCGGACGGGUGAGUAAUGCCUAGGAAUCUGCCUGGUAGUGGGGGAUAACGUCCGGAAACGGGCGCUAAUACCGCAUACGUCCUGAGGGAGAAAGUGGGGGAUCUUCGGACCUCACGCUAUCAGAUGAGCCUAGGUCGGAUUAGCUAGUUGGUGGGGUAAAGGCCUACCAAGGCGACGAUCCGUAACUGGUCUGAGAGGAUGAUCAGUCACACUGGAACUGAGACACGGUCCAGACUCCUACGGGAGGCAGCAGUGGGGAAUAUUGGAAAAUGGGCGAAAGCCUGAUCCAGCCAUGCCGCGUGUGUGAAGAAGGUCUUCGGAUUGUAAAGCACUUUAAGUUGGGAGGAAGGGCAGUAAGUUAAUACCUUGCUGUUUUGACGUUACCAACAGAAUAAGCACCGGCUAACUUCGUG
rnacentral:rRNA from 1 species